AUUUGUAACACUGAAGCUAGAUUUGGGACGAAUGGCGCUGCGCCAACCAGAUUGAAAAUCUCUUCCCCUUGGCAAGGUAUGUGGCUCUCACAGAGGGUUUUCUGCUGCCAAGGAGGAUGUGUCUAACCUGGUCUGAACAGGAAAGCUCC